rnacentral:lncRNA from 1 species
AAUGUCACUGGGUUUAUAACAUGGUAAAAUUUUGCUAGAUACCCCAGCCUUUUUUUUUUUUUUCCCCCAAGAUAGAGUUUUUCUCUAUAGCCCUGGCUGUCCUGGAACUCACUCUCUCACUCUGUAGACCAGGCUGCCUUCAAACUCAGAAAUCCCCCUGCCUCUGCCUCCAAAGUGCUGGGAUUAAAGGCGUGUGCCACCACUGCCUGGCCUACCACAGUCUUAUUUUGGAAAACUUAACAUCUGAAUAUCUAUCAACAGAAACGGUUGGAUGGGAAGCAUCAAAGUAGUGUAUACUCUAAUCCCAGCUACACAGGUCACUGGUGGGAUGAUGGUAUGACAGUUCAAGAUCAACCUAAGCAACUUAACCCCUCAGGGAAGGGAUAUUUAUAAUAGUUUCAACUCUCUGUGAUGCUGUCAGCAUGAAACCCAAACCCCACUUAUAGAAGUUACACAGUAAGCAAGUUAAUACAGCUAUCUCCUUAUUGAACCUCUUCAUCCUCCAAAGGAAGUAACAGCAAAUCAGACCAGAAUCUUUUACAGUACUGUUACUACCUAUCCAUGUGACUUCAGAGUCUGUUAAUAAUGGUGAGUAAAUUAUAGCUUUAUAGGAAAUGUCUGUUAGGGCACUUACUAAUGAACUUUAAACAGUUCUUAUCAAUGAAAUCCUUAGAGGGAAAUAGUCAAUAUGGAGCCUUAAGCUAUAGAAUACACAUUUAUAUUUACCAGCAUUUACGGGAUUUAUAAGUUCCUUACCUAGUGUUCAUGUAGAGGAAUGAUACUCUAUUCCAACCCCUGCUGUUACUGAUAUUAGCAGCAAUUAAAUUUUUAAUUACUAAUCCUUCAUUACUUCCUCUUAAACUACUCAUUUUCAUUUUUUAAACCUUUAGGGCUAUUACACAGCUGUGAGACAUGGUGGUAGUACCUCAGCCAUCUGGCACAGGGCAGAAGGGACCUAGACUCUUGAGAACAAAAAGUCACACAUAAGUGAUAGCAGACUAGCAUGAGAGCUUAAACAACAAAGUGGUAAAGAAGACAUGAGGACAGCCUGAAUGGCAGCAAAAAUAGAAACAGUAUCAAGAGUUUUAAUUUUUUAGAGACCCUAUUUUUGCUGAAUAAAUAUCUGCCUUUUGCUUUCCAUAAGAAAGUAAUUCACAUCAGUCAUGUCAGUUAGUAAAUUGUUUCUAAUUCCAAAUUAAAUACUAUUGGCCCAAGGAAUCAAAAGCUUUAUUCUGUCUUUGUGUGCUUGCUUGUUCUUAACGUGUCAGUCUCCUUUAAAAAGAUAUUUUGGGGGCUGGAGAGAUGGCUCAGUGGUGAAUAUCACUGACUGCUCUUCCAGAGGCCUAGAUUCAGUAUUCAGGCCCCACACAGUGACUUACCACCGUUUGUGACCCCAGUUCCAGCAUAUCUAACACCUUCUUCUGGUCUUCAUAGGCACAUGGUACACAUACAUACCUGUAAGCACAACACUCAUACAUAUAAAACAAAUCUACAAAUACUUUUAAUAAGUAAAAUAUUUUUUAAAAUUAAAGAAAACUACUUUUCUCGUUUAUUUAGAUAUGAAAGCAUAUUCCAGCCACUGUUCAUCUUAGUGAAUCUCUUGUUAGUCAGCUAUGGUGUUUUACGCCUAAAUCUCAGCACUUAGUGUGCUGAAAUAGAAGAAUUGUUAUGAAUUUCAUACCAAUCAGGGUCUCAAAAAUGGAAGAAGAGGAGAAGGAACAGC